CCUGUUUUGAUUCCCUUUUUUCCCUUUCUCUUCAACUUUCCUCUCUCUCUCUCGUUGUCUGUCCCCCCCUCCCUCUCUCUCUCUAGGACAAGAUUUUUCCUCUUUAAUCAGGUUUGAGAAACCCACACUUCUAAUAUGCCGAAGCUGCAACCACCGUUUCAGGUUUUCCCUAGAUAAGAUUUCAGGCAAGCUCAAUUUUCCUGCUGGGUUAGUCAUUCUUGAAGAUAAGGGUAGAGAGUGCAAGUUGUUGAAGAAGAAGAAGAAGAAGAAGAAGAAGACGAAGUGAUGGCGGCCUCUUCAUCGUCGGUGGCGCCAUUUUAUCGAUUUCAAGAGGGAGGAGAUCAAUUGAUUCAGAUGGAGCAGCACCGCCAUGCCCCAUCAGCUCCAUUGGCUUCAUCAGCAGCAGCAUCUGCACCUCCGGCUCCAGCUCCAGCUCCCCAGAAAAAGAAGCGAAACCAACCUGGAAAUCCAUAUCCGGACGCGGAGGUGAUAGCGCUGUCGCCCAAGAGCUUGAUGGCGACGAACAGGUUCGUGUGUGAGGUGUGCAAGAAAGGGUUCCAGAGAGAGCAGAACCUGCAGCUGCACCGGAGGGGCCACAACCUGCCAUGGAAGCUCAAGCAGAAGGGCACCAACAAGGAGGCGGUGCGGCGGAAGGUCUACCUAUGCCCCGAGCCCACCUGCGUGCACCAUGACCCGUCCCGCGCCCUCGGCGACCUCACAGGGAUAAAAAAGCACUACUCCCGCAAGCACGGCGAGAAGAAGUGGAAGUGUGACAAGUGCUCGAAGCGGUACGCAGUGCAGUCGGACUGGAAGGCGCACUCCAAGACCUGUGGCACUCGGGAGUACAGGUGUGAUUGCGGCACUCUUUUUUCAAGGCGCGACAGCUUCAUCACUCACCGUGCCUUUUGUGACGCGCUUGCUCAAGAGAAUGCUAGACACCCUCCCGCCUUGAACAGCAUCGGCAACCACUCCAUCUAUGGAAGCACCAACAUGGGGUUGGGAUUGUCGCAAGCGAAUCGCCAAAUACCCUCAAUGAUGCAAGGCCAGGGAAUAAACCAUUCCAACAAUAACGACGUCUCGCCGCUUGGCCGUGCUCGGAGUGGACAAUUAUUUGAUCACCUCCUUGCGCCCUCCAUGGGAACUGCUUCUUCGACGUUUAAUCAACCGCUUCCCUCAAUGGGCUCACCAUCCCCUAAUAAUUUCUUGUUCCAAGAUCAGUCAAAUCAAAGCUACAAUUCUCAGGAGCAAGCAUCACCUCACCAAGGGUUGCUCCAGAACAAGCCCUUCCAUGGACUGAUGAUGCAGCAAUUGAUCCCUGAUCAUGUCAAGAGCAACAACAAUGAUCCAUCACCAUCAUCAUCAUUGGCAAAUAUUUUCAAUCUUGGAAUGCUUUCAAGUAGCAGCUCGAACAGCAACAACAACAGCAGCACCAGCAGCUUACUCAAUUCCGGGCUUUUGGUCCCAGAUCAUCACCGGUUCAAGAACGAGAUCGGAAGCGAAGGAUCGAACCUCUUGCAGAGAAGCAUAACCAGUGAUCAUCAUCAGAUCAGCUCAUCAGGAGUGCCUUCUCUCUAUAGCACUUCACUUCUGCAAAACAGCAACCACCAUGAUUUCUCACCGCCUCACAUGUCUGCAACUGCUCUCCUCCAAAAGGCUGCUCAAAUGGGCUCGGCAACCUCAAGAACGGAUACCAACAACAAUGCCUCUUUCCUAAAAACCUUCGCGAACUACUCUUCCUCAAGCGGCAUCAAAUCCGACCGGUCGCCACUUGCCCCGGUUAGCUUCGCGGGCAUAUUCGGUGGCGACAACAACCUCCAGGAGCUAGUGAACUGCGCCUUCGGAGGUGGGCAAGAUCAUCAUCAUCAAGAAUCAGCCGGGGACGCUUACGACGGGAUCUACGACAACACGAACAAGACCGGGUCGGAGCAGUCGACGACGACCCACAUGGGUCAACAUGGGAUGACGAGGGACUUUCUUGGGGUCGGAGAGAUAGUGAGACGCGUGAGUAAUAACGGCAACGGCAACGGCAACAAUGGAGGGUUUAUGGAUGUGCAGAGAGACGACGAGCAACGACGACAGAAUCAAGAAAAGUAUGGCCUGAUGAUCAGCGACGACAAAGUGAUCAGCUCCUCCUUGGAUUCAGCGCCCACAAGCCAAACCUUCGGAGAUUUCCGUUGAAAAAUCCGAUGAGCUUUCUUUGGGAAGAAAAGACCGAGUACAGAUUCUGACAAAUUCACAAGGCACCACACACUCACAUCACAUUGGAACGCAAAGACUCAGUUAGGACAAUUGCUGAACAGGAACGACGCCGCAUUGGGCAGAUCGAACUCGAAGACGUUGAACUUUUUAUCUCUUUCAUGUUCCCCUUUUCUUCUCAAACUUGUCGGUUGUUUUGUGUAACUUGUUAGUCCCGGUAAGAGGUUGUCUUUUUUCUCCCCCAUACAUUUUAGACUUUCAACAGAGGAAAAGAUCCUUGAAGAACGUUUUGGAGGUAUUUCGAAACACCUAACUUGAGUUUUAAUAUCAUACUAAGGAAAAUUUAAGGGGACUCUUUUUCUGUAAAGUGUUGUGGUAAUCUGUUAUAUCCUAUGAUAACUUCUCAUUUCAGCC